rnacentral:lncRNA from 1 species
GAAGGCAGAGCUGGAGAAAGGCGGAGCGAGGGAGCGCGUGAAAAGAAAGAGAUGCCGAAUGCCGGGUGAUUGUCUGCCGCUUGCUGUGCAUUCUCAUUCUAGGGAGGAUGGCAUAAUUUAUAACCCAGCACAUGGAUAGAGGAACUGUAAAUUGUAGUCUGGAUGUCCCCGGCGCUGUCGACGAAGGAACUGAUGGGCUAGGUGACUGUACCAGUGUCCCCAGAGAAAAUCGCAGCCUCGCAGCAUGGAUUUAAAUGCAUGUGCAUGCAUGUAGAGACAUGAAAAAAGUUCUGGAGACCAGAAGGCCAAAAUCAAAAGUAUGGGCAGGCUUGAUUUCUUUAGAAGACUCCAGCGGAGAACUGUGUCUCCUUGCUUCUGAUUCUACAUCUCCAUCCAUGGGCCACUGUUUCAGCAACCUCAGCCAGUGCAACACAACCUCAGCCAAGAAGAGUAUGCAGAGAAAGGAGUCCCCUACCUGCCACAAAACUGUUGUCUGAAAACUGUCUCAUAUUGUCUCAAGUUGUCAUUCAUUGUGAAUUAGACCUGUUUAACAUGUAAUCUGCAACAUGCUUCACUGUCUAAUUUUCCAGAGCCCCUCAUAUAAGGAACUGUAUUAUUGGUAUAAUCAUCAUGGUGAAGAAGUUGGUAUGUGGGGGAGAGAUGACAGAAACAGAGAGUAAGUCAGAGCUGGCUGCCUGACAGAUAAAAAGGAAAUGACCAAAAAAAAAAAAAAAGACACAGAAGAAUACUUUGUUGUCCACACAGAAAAGGGAAGUGUAGGUAAGACAGCAGUAGACUAAGAUUCUUAAGACUCAAGUUCUAGUCUUAUUUAUUAGCUAUGGGAGGCCUUGAGGGAGUUCUAGAAUUAAGUGAUCUCUCUUUAUAAAAUAGGAACAGUAAUAACUUCCUGGCUAACUCCCUGGCUGUCUCACAAUGCUGUAGUAGUAAGAAAUAAUUUUAUAAUUAAAGACUAUUUUAGGGCUGAUUACAUUUUUGGGCAGUGGCUCAUACAUGUAAUUUCAACAUUUUGGGAGGCCAAGGUGGGCGGAUUGCUUGAGCCCAGGAAUUCAAGACCAGGCUGGGCAACACAGACCUUGUCACUACAAAAGAAAAAAACAUUAGCUAGGCGUGGUGAUGUAUGCCUGUGGUCCCAGCUACUCAGGAAGCUGAGACAGGAGGAUCACCUGAGCCUGGGAGGUCGAGGCUACAGUGAGCCAUGAUCAC